rnacentral:rRNA from 1 species
UACAGAGGGUGCAAGCGUUGUUCGGAAUUACUGGGCGUAAAGCGCGUGUAGGCGGUCUGAUAAGUCGGUCGUGAAAUCCCUUGGCUUAACCAAGGAACUGCGUUCGAAACUGUCGGACUUGAGUAUCGGAGGGGGUGGCGGAAUUCCCGGUGUAGAGGUGAGAUUCGUAGAUAUCGGGAGGAACACCUGUGGCGAAGGCGGCCACCUGGAAGAUUACUGACGCUGAGACGCGAAAGCGUGGGGAGCAAACAGG